UACGGGGGGGCAAGCGUUGUUCGGAAUUACUGGGCGUAAAGGGCGCGUAGGCGGCCUUCUAAGUCGGACGUGAAAUCCCUCGGCUUAACCGAGGAACUGCGUCCGAGACUGAAAGGCUUGAAUCCGGGAGAGGGAUGUGGAAUUCCAGGUGUAGCGGUGAAAUGCGUAGAUAUCUGGAGGAACACCGGUGGCGAAGGCGGCAUCCUGGACCGGUAUUGACGCUGAGGCGCGAAAGCUAGGGGAGCAAACGGG
rnacentral:rRNA from 1 species